CCUACGGGAGGCAGCAGUAAGGAAUAUUGGUCAAUGGACGAAAGUCUGAACCAGCCAUGCCGCGUGAAGGAUGAAGGCCCUCUGGGUUGUAAACUUCUUUUAUCUGGGACGAAAAAAGCUCAUUCUUGAGCACUUGACGGUACCAGAGGAAUAAGCACCGGCUAACUCCGUGCCAGCAGCCGCGGUAAUACGGAGGGUGCAAGCGUUAUCCGGAUUCACUGGGUUUAAAGGGUGCGUAGGUGGGUCUGUAAGUCAGUGGUGAAAUCUCCGAGCUUAACUCGGAAACUGCCAUUGAUACUAUAGGUCUUGAAUCAUCUGGAGGUAAGCGGAAUAUGUCAUGUAGCGGUGAAAUGCUUAGAUAUGACAUAGAACACCAAUUGCGAAGGCAGCUUACUACGGGUGUAUUGACACUGAGGCACGAAAGCGUGGGGAUCAAACAGGAUUAGAUACCCUGGUAGUCCACGCCCUAAACGAUGGAUACUCGACAUCAGCGAUACACUGUUGGUGUCUGNGNGAAGANAUAAUAUACCACCNCGGAGACGACCGACGAGUAGAAGUAAAGUAAGUUAGUACGCGUGAGAGAGACGACGACGACGACGAGGGAGGAGG
rnacentral:rRNA from 1 species